rnacentral:rRNA from 1 species
GAAGUAGUUUUGAGUUAAAUAUAAUUUAGUAUUAGCUGCUAAUAUUGGUGUCGCAAAACUACAUAUCAAAAUUAUAUUUAGGGGUGACAGGCUUAUCAAAAACUAAGAUAUCUUGAUUCCAAUAAAAAGUAUAUAGUACAUAAAUACAAUUAUUAAGUGGUUAGGCUUAAUAAUAUUAUAAAUUUAUAUGAUCUUUUAUUACUAUGAUUUAAUAAUUAAGUAUAUGUAUUCAAUAUCACACAGCUUUUAUAUUUUAUAGAGUAUAAUUGGGUGAAGUGAAAUUAUUAAAUCUUUUAAUAAUGUUUAUAUUAGUAUACUUGUAAUAUUUAUAUAAUGAACUCGGCAAAAAUGCCUCUCAACUGUUUAUCAAAAACAUAACUAUGUGUAUUAUAUACAUAGCAGUUUCUGCUCAAUGAUUUAUUAAAUAGCCGCAGUAUAUUGACUGUGCAAAGGUAGCAUAAUCAAUUGACUUAUAAUUGAAGUCUAGAAUGAAGGAAAGUAUGGGUAGCUACUGUUUCAUAUAAAUAUGUUUAAUUUAUUUAAGAAGUGAAAAUCCUUCUUUAUAAAUAAAAGACGAGAAGACCCUAGAAAUUUUUAGUAAUAUUAGUUGGAUUCCUAAUAGUUUUUCGCUGGGGCGGCGGAGUAGCAUAGAACCUGCUUAAUAAAACCUACAUCUGUUUUGAUAAUUGAAAAAUUUACUCUAGGGAUAACAGCAUAAUAUUUAAAAGUUUGUGACCUCGAUGUUGGACUAGGAAAUAAUAGCCUAAAAGGUUUUUUAUAGUGCUCUGUUCGAGCAUAUACUCCUACAUGAUC